UACGAAGGGGGCUAGCGUUGCUCGGAAUCACUGGGCGUAAAGCGCACGUAGGCGGCUUUCUAAGUCAGGGGUGAAAUCCUGGAGCUCAACUCCAGAACUGCCUUUGAUACUGGAGAGCUCGAGUCCGGAAGAGGUGAGUGGAACUCCGAGUGUAGAGGUGAAAUUCGUAGAUAUUCGGAAGAACACCAGUGGCGAAGGCGGCAUCCUGGACCAACACCGACACUGAGGAGCGAAAGCCAGGGGAGCAAACGGG
rnacentral:rRNA from 1 species